rnacentral:rRNA from 1 species
CGUAGGGUGCGAGCGUUAAUCGGAAUUACUGGGCGUAAAGCGUGUGCAGGCGGUUAUAUAAGACAGAUGUGAAAUCCCCGGGCUCAACCUGGGAACUGCAUUUGUGACUGUAUAGCUAGAGUACGGCAGAGGGGGAUGGAAUUCCGCGUGUAGCAGUGAAAUGCGUAGAUAUGCGGAGGAACACCGAUGGCGAAGGCAAUCCCCUGGGCCUGUACUGACGCUCAUGCACGAAAGCGUGGGGAGCAAACAGGAUUAGAUACCCUGGUAGUCCACGCCCUAAACGAUGUCAACUGGUUGUUGGGUCUUCACUGACUCAGUAACGAAGCUAACGCGUGAAGUUGACCGCCUGGGGAGUACGGCCGCAAGGUUG